AAUAGGAGAAUGACAAAUCAGAUUUUCAGCUUUUUCCUCUUGAAAAAAUUUAAAUCCAACUAAAAAUGCUAAAAAUAAGGAGGAAAAAUCUGAUUUGUCAUUCUCCUGUU
rnacentral:pre_miRNA from 1 species